GACGAACGCUGGCGGCGCGCCUUACGCAUGCAAGUCGAACGGUCCUUCGGGACAGUGGCGGACGGCUGAGUAACGCGUAGGUAACCUGUCCGGCGGUGGGGGAUAACCCUUCGAAAGAAGGGCUAAUACCGCAUGAGCUCCCGCCGUGAAAUUCGGCGGGAGGAAAGUCUUCGGACGCCGCUGGAGGGGCCUGCGUCCUAUCAGGUAGUUGGUGGGGUAACGGCUCACCAAGCCUACGACGGGUAGCUGGUCUGAGAGGACGACCAGCCAGAAGGGG
rnacentral:rRNA from 1 species